rnacentral:rRNA from 1 species
AUGCGUAUCUCUCGAGACGUGACUUUUGAUGAGUCUCGUCCCUUCUACCCACGCCCAUCUUCCUUGAUUUUUUCAGUGGAGGAUAUCUCUUUCCUCACUUUUCCUGACUCACCUAUCACCCCCGUCGCGCCUGUGCCUAUUCGUUCCACUCCCUCUGCUUCUCCACCUCUAGUCGAUUUGCAGCCACCAUCUUCUCCGGUCUCCUCGCCUAGCAUGUCACCGGAUUCUACACCUUCAUCUCCGGUGACUUCUUCGUCGCCACCCCCCGAUUCUACCUUGGCGAUUCCUCCUUCCAUUGUUCCAUCUUUUCCUCAGCAUUACACUCGUCGUUCACGACCUGUGGAUGCCUCAUUGGAUGAGUCGUCCUCUUCCUCUCAGCCUACUUAUGGCUUGCGUUCUCGUCCUCGUCCGCCUGUUGAUCGCUUUGGAUUUCCCACCGUUGGUGCUGCUGUUCUUGAGCUGACUUCUUAUCGUCAGGCUGUUGUUCAUCCUGAAUGGCAGUUUGCGAUGGCCAAGGAGAUUGCUGCUCUUGAACGCACUGGUACCUGGGAUCUUGUUUCUCUUCCUCCCGGAGUCCGUCCCAUCACUUGUAAGUGGGUCUACAAGGUUAAGACUCGCUCCGAUGGUUCUCUUGAGCGUCACAAAACUCGUCUUGUGGCUCGUGGUUUUCAGCAGGAGCAUGGUCGUGAUUAUGACGAGACUUUUGCUCCUAUAGCCCAUAUGACCACUGUUCGUACACUUCUUGUCGUUGCCUCUGCACGCCACUGGUCUAUAUCUCAGCUUGAUGUUAAGAAUGCCUUUCUUAAUGGUGAGCUGCGUGAGGAGGUGUACAUGCAGCCACCACCUGGGUAUUCUGUUCCUGAUGGCAUGGUAUGUCGUCUUCGUCGCUCUCUCUAUGGCCUUAAGCAAGCCCCUCGUGCCUGGUUUGAGCGUUUUGCCUCUGUGGUCACUACUGCUGGUUUUUCAGCAAGUGCUCAUGAUCCAGCAUUGUUUAUUCACCUUUCUCCUCGUGGUCGGACUCUUCUUCUUCUCUAUGUUGAUGACAUGAUCAUCACUGGGGAUGACCCCGAGUAUAUUGCCUUUGUAAAGGCCUGUCUUAGUGAGCAGUUUCUUAUGUCUGAUCUUGGACCUCUUCGCUACUUUCUUGGGAUUGAAGUCUCUUCUACCUCUGAUGCCUUUUUUAUAUCCCAGGAAAAGUAUAUCCAGGAUCUUCUUGCUCGUGCUGCUCUUACUGACGAGUGCAUUGUUGAGACUCCUAUGGAGCUCAAUGUUCACCUCCGUGCUACUGAUGGUGAUCCUCUCCCUGACCCGACGCGUUAUCGUCAUCUCGUUGGCAGUCUUGUCUAUCUAGCCGUCACUCGUCCGGACAUCUCUUAUCCGGUUUAUAUUCUGAGUCAGUUUGUCUCUGCUCCCACAUCGGUUCACUAUAGUCAUCUUCUUCGUGUUCUCCGAUAUCUUCGGGGCACGAUCUCUCACCGUCUAUUCUUUCCUAGCUCCAGUUCUUUACAGCUUCAGGCCUAUUCGGAUGCUACGUGGGCUAGUGAUCCUUCUGAUCGCCGUUCACUUUCUGCUUACUGUGUUUUUCUUGAUGGUUCUCUCAUUGCCUGGAAGAAAAAGAAACAGAUUGCAGUUUCCCGUUCUAGUGCUGAGGCUGAGUUGCGAGCCAUGGCUCUUUUGACGGCAGAGGUGACUUGGUUACGGUGGUUACUUCAGGAUUUUGGUGUUUCUGUCACUACACCGACUCUGCUCUUAUCUGACAGUACAGGUGCUAUUAGCAUUGCGCGCGAUCCUGUGAAGCAUGAGCUCACCAAGCAUAUUGGUGUUGAUGCUUUCUAUGUGCGCGCUGGUGUGCAGGAUCAGGUUAUUGCUUUUCAGUAUGUGCCUUCCAAAUUAUAG